AACGAACGCUGGCGGCAGGCUUAACACAUGCAAGUCGAACGCCCCGCAAGGGGAGUGGCAGACGGGUGAGUAACGCGUGGGAACGUGCCCUUCGGUUCGGGAUAACCCGGGGAAACUCGGGCUAAUACCGGAUACGUCCUGCCCCUUUAACAAGGGUGGGAGAAAGGUUUACUGCCGAAGGAUCGGCCCGCGUCGGAUUAGCUAGUUGGUGGGGUAAUGGCCCACCAAGGCGACGAUCCGUAGCUGGUCUGAGAGGAUGANCAGCCACACUGGGACUGAGACACGGCCCAGACUCCUACGGGAGGCAGCAGUGGGGAAUAUUGGACAAUGGGCGCAAGCCUGAUCCAGCGAUGCCGCGUGUGUGAAGAAGGCCUGCGGGUUGUAAAGC
rnacentral:rRNA from 1 species